rnacentral:rRNA from 1 species
GUAGGGGGCGAACGUUGUCCGGAUUUAUUGGGCGUAAAGGGCUCGUAGGCGGUUCAACAAGUUGGCCGUGAAAACCCGGGGCUCAACCCCCGGGACGCCGGUCGAAACUGUUGUGACUAGGGUCCGGUAGAGGUCAUUGGAAUUCUCGGUGUAGCGGUGAAAUGCGCAGAUAUCGAGAGGAACACCAGUAGCGAAGGCGGAUGACUGGGCCGGUACCGACGCUAAGGAGCGAAAGCGUGGGGAGCAAACAGGAUUAGAUACCCUGGUAGUCCACGCCGUAAACGUUGAACACUAGGUGUGGGGGACUUAUCCACGUCCUCCGUGCCCGUAGCUAACGCAUUAAGUGUUCCGCCCUGGGGGAGUACGGCCGCAAGGCUA